rnacentral:lncRNA from 1 species
ACGUAAUAGCAAAGUACACAAAAUAUCCUCUAGGAGCUAGCUAAGGUGCAGAAUCAUGGGCCAAUAUCUCACUUCCAUUGCUUCUAUCAUACCAUUCAUUAAGCCAGGAUUUCACAAUCUGUUGUGCAGAAUACUCAUCCAUUGCUAGGUUAGCAACUCUCCUCUCCCCGACUAGGUUUACUCGCAGUCGCAACUCAUAGAUCGUAAGCUCUAAGACGAGGUGGCAACGUCUUGCUUGUGAUCGCCAAAGAUCCGUUGCCUGAAGUCGGACACCAUCAUCGGGAGACCUUUACGAAGAGCUAUCUUGGGCUCCCAACCCAGCAG